UAGUGACAAUAAAUAACAAUACAGGGUUCUUUUGGAACUUGUAAUUGGAAUGAGUACAAUUUUAAUCUCUUAACGAGGAACAAUUGGAGGGCAAGUCUGGUGCCAGCAGCCGCGGUAAUUCCAGCUCCAAUAGCGUAUAUUAAAGUUGUUGCAGUUAAAAAGCUCGUAGUUGAAUUUCGGGAUCAAUAUUUCGGUCAUGCCGUUGGUAUGCACUGUUAUCAUUGAUUUCUCACCUUCUAAAGAACCGUAAUGCCAUUAAUUUGGUGUUACGGGGAAUUAGGACUGUUACCUUGAAAAAAUUAGAGUGUUUAAAGCAGGCUCACGCUUGAAUACAUUAGCAUGGAAUAAUGAAAUAGGACAUCCGAUUCUAUUUUGUUGGUUUCUAGGAUCGAUGUAAUGAUUAAUAGGGAUAGUUGGGGGCAUUAGUAUUCAAUUGUCAGAGGUGAAAUUCUUGGAUUUAUUGAAGACUAACUACUGCGAAAGCAUUUGCCAAGGAUGUUUCAUUAAUCAAGAACGAAAGUUAGGGGAUCGAAGACGAUCAGAUACCGUCGUAGUCUUAAACUAUGCCGACUAGGGAUCGGAUGAUGUUAAUUUUUUACAAGGUAAUGGUCCUGGUUCCCCGACACACCCAGCGAAGGGCAUGCGGCAAA
rnacentral:rRNA from 1 species